rnacentral:rRNA from 1 species
GAGUUUGAUCCUGGCUCAGAGCGAACGCUGGCGGCAGGCCUAACACAUGCAAGUCGAGCGCCCCGCAAGGGGAGCGGCAGACGGGAGAGUAACACGUGGGAACGUACCCUUCAGUUCGGAACAACCAAGGGAAACUUUGGCUAAUACCGAAUACGUCCGUAAGGAGAAAGAUUUAUCGCUGAAGGAUCGGCCCGCGUCUGAUUAGCUAGUUGGCGGGGUAACGGCCCACCAAGUCUGCGAUCAGUAACUGGUGUGAGAGCACGACCAGUCACACGGGCACUGAGACACGGGCCCGACUCCUACGGGAGGCAGCAGUAAGGAAUAUUGGUCAAUGGACGCAAGUUUGAACCAGCCAUGCCGCGUGGAGGAUUAAGGCCCUCUGGGUUGUAAACACCUUUUAUCUGGGAAGAAAUGCAUUUUUUCUAAAGUGCUGACGGUACCAGAGGAAUAA